rnacentral:rRNA from 1 species
GACGUAGGGCGCAAGCGUUGUCCGGAAUUAUUGGGCGUAAAGAGCUCGUAGGCGGUCUGUCGCGUCGGCUGUGAAAACCCGAGGCUCAACCUCGGGCCUGCAGCCGAUACGGGCAGACUAGAGUUCGGCGAGGGGAGAUCUGGAAUUUACGGUGUAGCGGUGAAAUGCGUAGAUAUCGUAAGGAAGACCAGUGGCGAAGGCGGGUCUCUGGACAGUUCCUGACGCUGAGGCACGAAGGCCAGGGGAGCAAACGGG